UACGGGGGGGGCAAGCGUUGUUCGGAAUUACUGGGCGUAAAGGGCUCGUAGGUGGCCAACUAAGUCAGACGUGAAAUCCCUCGGCUUAACCGGGGAACUGCGUCUGAUACUGGAUGGCUUGAGAUUGGGAGAGGGACGCGGAAUUCCAGGUGUAGCGGUGAAAUGCGUAGAUAUCUGGAGGAACACCGGUGGCGAAGGCGGCGCCCUGGACCAACACUGACACUGAGGAGCGAAAGCCAGGGGAGCAAACGGG
rnacentral:rRNA from 1 species